rnacentral:rRNA from 1 species
GCGGCUACGGCCGCGAAGUGGAUGAUGUCAAGCUUCCAAGAAAAGCCCUAUACCCGUUAAGGCAUGAUGGCCUGUACCCGAAACCGACACAGGUGGGGUGGUAGAGAAUACCGAGGGGCGCGAGGUAACUCUCUCUAAGGAACUCGGCAAAAUGGCCCCGUAACUUCGGGAGAAGGGGUGCCACCGCGAGGUGGUCGCAGUGAAGAGGCCCAGGCGACUGUUUACCAAAAACACAGGUCUCCGCUAAGUCGCAAGACGAUGUAUGGGGGCUGACGCCUGCCCAGUGCCGGAAGGUUAAGGAAGCUGGUCAGCGCAAGCGAAGCUGGCGACUGAAGCCCCGGUGAACGGCGGCCGUAACGAUAACGGUCCUAAGGUAGCGAAAUUCCUUGUCGGGUAAGUUCCGACCCGCACGAAAGGCGUAACGAUCUGGGCGCUGUCUCGGAGAGAGGCUCGGCGAAAUAGAAUUGUCUGUGAAGAUGCGGACUACGUGCACCCGGACAGAAAGACCCUAUGAAGCUUUACUGUAGCUUGGUAUUGUGCUCGGGCUCGGAAUGCGCAGGAUAGGUGGGAGGCUUUGAUCCAUUGCUUGCGGGUGAUGGUGAGCCACUGGUGAGAUACCACUCUUUCCGAGCUAGAGUUCUAACAGCAACCCGUUAUCCGGGUGCUGGACAGUAUCAGGUGGGCAGUUUGACUGGGGCGGUCGCCUCCUAAAAGGUAACGGAGGCGCGCAAAGGUCUGCUCAGGCUGGUUGGAAAUCAGCCGACGAGUGUAAAAGCAGAAGCAGGCUUGACUGUGAGACCUACAAGUCGAACAGGGAGGAAACUCGGCUUUAGUGAUCCGACGGUUCUGCGUGGAAGGGCCGUCGCUCAACGGAUAAAAGUUACUCUAGGAUAACAGGCUGAUCUCCCCCAAGAGUUCACAUCGACGGGGAGGUUUGGCACCUCGAUGUCGGCUCAUCGCAACCUGGGGCUGAAGUCGGUCCCAAGGGUUGGGCUGUUCGCCCAUUAAAGCGGUACGCGAGCUGGGUUCAGAACGUCGUGAGACAGUUCGGUCCAUAUCCGGUGCACGCGCAGGAAUAUUGAGGGGAUUUCUCCCUAGUACGAGAGGACCGGGAGGAACGCACCUCUGGUGUGCCAGUUAUCGUGCCAACGGUAAACGCUGGGUAGCCAUGUGCGGAGUGGAUAACCGCUGAAAGCAUCUAAGUGGGAAGCCCACCUCAAGAUGAGUAUUCCCAUGGCAUAAGCCAGUAAGGUCACGGGAAGAACACCCGUUGAUAGGCUCUACGUGGAAGCGCAGUAAUGUGUGAAGCGGAGGAGUACUAAUAGACCGAGGGCUUGAC